AGCAGCCGCGGUAAUUCCAGCUCCAAUAGCGUAUAUUAAAGUUGCUGCAGUUAAAAAGCUCGUAGUUGAAUUUCGGGACCAUCAUGUCGGUCGUGCCUCGGUACGAACUGGUAUUGUUGGUUUCUCCCUUCUGACGAACCAUGAUGUCAUUUAUUUGGUGUUGUGGGGAAUCAGGACUGUUACUUUGAAAAAAUUAGAGUGUUUAAAGCAGGCUCACGCUUGAAUACAUUAGCAUGGAAUAAUGAAAUAGGACGUUUGAUUCUAUUUUGUUGGUUUCUAGGAUCGACGUAAUGAUUAAUAGGGAUAGUUGGGGGCAUUAGUAUUCAAUUGUCAGAGGUGAAAUUCUUGGAUUUAUUGAAGACUAACUACUGCGAAAGCAUUUGCCAAGGAUGUUUUCAUUAAUCAAGAACGAAAGUUAGGGGAUCGAAGACGAUCAGAUACCGUCGUAGCCUUAACCAUAAACUAUGCCGACUAGGGAUCGGAUGAUGUUAAUUUUUUAAUGACUCA
rnacentral:rRNA from 1 species